UCUAAGUAUAAAAGAUGACAUGCUCCAAAACCUUAAUGCCUCUAAAGUUUCUGCAAAUCCUUUUCAUGCUCAGCAAUGUCUGCACCCGCCAACUAUAAUCCUGCAAGUACUCUAGAAGAAGUGGAUAUUCUCUUUAGGAAAAAGUGCAUAAGAUUUAUGACAGACAAUAGAUGACAACUCCCGUACCUCAACCAAAGCUUGAUACAUCCAAACACACACACACACACACAAAACAUCAUUAAUCUUGGUGGGUGGAGAAAUUAUUGGUUGGAUCAAAUCCACCAGAGUUAGUGGACUAGCCCAAUUAGAAAGCAACACGGCACAAAGAACAUGGAAAAGAAAAAAAGAAAACUACAGCUGUGUUGCUUUCUAGUUGGAUUCGUCCAUCAGCUCAAAGGUGGACUUGGUCCCGCUAAAAUUAAAUUUGGCUAGCGGAAGGCUCUUUUAGAAGCAAUCAAAUGCGGGGACAUGCAUGCUUACCAUUUUCCUUGUCAGAAGCCUAUCCAAUUUCUAAUUCAUAACGAUGCAGCUCAUUCAUUCAAAUUGGCCUUACUUGGCCUAGUCCAACCCCAUAUGGUUAAAAUAAUAGUAAAUCCAUGUCAAAUAAAACUAUCAG
rnacentral:lncRNA from 1 species